rnacentral:rRNA from 1 species
UAGUCCACGCUGUAAACGAUGAUCACUAGCUGUUGGCGAUAAAUUGUUCAGCGGCAAAGCGAAAGCAUUAAGUGAUCCACCUGGGGAGUACGAUCGCAAGAUUGAAACUCAAAGGAAUUGACGGGGGCCCGCACAAGCGGAGGAACAUGUGGUUUAAUUCGAUGAUACGCGAGGAACCUUACCUGGGCUUAAAUGCAGGACGACGUUUCGGGAAACCGAUUCUCCCUUCGGGGCGGACUGCAAGGUGCUGCAUGGUUGUCGUCAGCUCGUGCCGUGAGGUGUCGGGUUAAGUCCCAUAACGAGCGCAACCCCUAUCGUUAGUUGCCAGCGGAUCAUGCCGGGGACUCUAACGAAACUGCCGGUGUAAACCGAGAGGAAGGUGGGGAUGACGUCAAAUCAGCACGGCCCUUAUGUCCAGGGCUACACACGUGUUACAAUGGUCGAUACAGAGGGUAGCCAAGCCGCAAGGUGGAGCCAAUCUCACAAAGCCGAUCUCAGUUCGGA